rnacentral:piRNA from 1 species
CGGCGAAUAGCAAUAUUGGGAGU